AGAUAUUAAAAAAAUAUAUAUUAUAUAUCGGUAGGGGAGCGUUCUGUUAUAGAUUGAAGCGUUAGCGUAAGCGGGCGUGGACGAAACAGAAGUGAGAAUGUCGGCUUGAGUAGCGAAAACAUAGGUGAGAAUCCAAUGCCCUGAAAACCUAAGGUUUCCUCCGGAAGGCUCGUCCACGGGGGGUAAGUCAGGACCUAAGGCGAGGCUGAAAAGCGUAGUCGAUGGACAAUAGGUUUUAUUCCUAUACUAUUCUUUAUUGGCAACGAGGGACGAAGAAAGCUAAACUAGCCAACUAAUGGUUAUUGGUUUAAAUGUACAAGGUGUUGAGAAGUAGAGAAAAUACUUUGAGCUAAGUCAUGAAUACGGAAUAACGUGCGCGUUAUAUGAAGUAGUUGAUGUUAUGCUUCCAAGAAAAGCUUGCACUGUCAUAAAUAAAGAAUACCUGUACCCUAAACCGACACAGGUAGGUUGGUAGAGUAUACCAAAGGGCGCGAGAUAACUCUCUCUAAGGAACUCGGCAAAAUAGCCCUGUAACUUCGGGAAAAGGGGUACCUUUUAGGUUGCAAUAACAAGGUCCAAGCGACUGUUUACCAAAAACACAGGUCUCCGCUAAGUUGUAAAACAACGUAUGGGGGCUGACGCCUGCCCAGUGCCGGAAGGUUAAAGAAGUUGGUUAGUUUAUGACGACGCUAAUAACUGAAGCCCCGGUGAACGGCGGCCGUAACUAUAACGGUCCUAAGGUAGCGAAAUUCCUUGUCGGGUAAGUUCCGACCCGCACGAAAGGCGUAACGAUCUGGGCACUGUCUCGGAGAGAGGCUCGGUGAAAUAGACAUGUCUGUGAAGAUGCGGACUACCUGCACCUGGACAGAAAGACCCUAUGAAGCUUUACUGUAACUUGAAAUUGGUUUCGGGUUUUAUUUGCGCAGCAUAGGUGGGAGGCUGGGACGUUAAUCUUACGGGAUUAAUCGAGCCGUCAGUGAGAUACCACUCUUAUAAAACUAGAACUCUAACCUUGUAUCGUUAGCCGAUCAGGGAACAGUUUCAGGCGGGCAGUUUGACUGGGGCGGUCGCCUCCUAAAAGGUAACGGAGGCGUACAAAGGUUUCCUCAGAUCGGUCAGAAAUCGAUCGAAGAGUGUAAAGGCAAAAGGAAGCUUGACUGUGAGACUUACAAGUCGAACAGAGACGAAAGUCGGUCUUAGUGAUCUGGCGAUAUUGAGUGGAAAAGUCGUCACUCAACGGAUAAAAGUUACUCUAGGGAUAACAGGCUGAUCUUCCCCAAGAGCUCACAUCGACGGGAAGGUUUGGCACCUCGAUGUCGG
rnacentral:rRNA from 1 species